UCCUUAAGCCUGUAUACUAUAAUUAAGUGGUUAACACACCGUUCUAGAAGUUACAGUUUUGUAAUUCUGUUUUUCACCUUUGCUAGAGUAUUAUGUACUUUCAUUUGCUUUUUUGUCACUAAUUAGCAUUUUUUUUCAUUUCAGCUUGAAGAGCUCCUUUAGCAUAUCUUACAAGACAGGUCUGGCAGUGGUGAACUCUCUCAGUUUUCGUUUGUCUGGGAAAGCCUUUAUUUCUCCUUCAUAUCUGAAGGAUAACUUUGCUAGGUAAAGUAUUCUUGGCUGGCAGUUUUUAUCUUCCAGCACUAUGAAUAUGUCAUGUCGCUCUCUCCUGGCCAGUAGAGUUUCUGCUGAGAAAUCUGCUGAUAGCCUAAUGGAGCUUUCUUCAGAGGUUUCUUUCUUUUUUCUCCUGCCUACCUUUAAGAUUCUUUCUUUAUCAUUGAAUUUUGACAGUUUCAUCAUGUAUCUUGGAGAAGGUCUUUCUGCAUUAAGAUAAUAAGGUAUUCUGUUAUCUUCUUGGACUUUUAUGUCCAGUUCCCUUCCCCAGGUUUUGGCAAUUUCUCAGCUAUUAUUUUUCUAAAUAUGCUCUCUGUUCCCUUUUCCCUCCCUUCUUCUUCUGGUAGACCAAUUAUUCUUAUGUUUGUUUUUCUCAUCAUAUCUGAUAUCUCUCACAGGGAGUUUAGUUCACUUUUUAAAAAAUAUUAGUUCUCUUCUAAUUGUCAUUUCUAAGUUCCUAUCCUCUAAGUUGCUAAUUCUUUCUUUCAUCUGAUCUGCCCUAUUUCCUAAGCUCUCUAAUGCAUUCUUGAUGUCGUUCAUUGAAUUCUUCAGCUCCAGAUUUCUGUCUAGUUCAUUUUGAAAAUUUCAAUCUCUUUGGUAAAGAACUCUUUCUGUUCAUUAAUUUUAUUCCUGAGUUCAUUGAAUUGCCUUUCUGAGUUUUCUUGUAGCUCACUGAAUCUCUUCAUAACAGCCAUUUUGAAGUCUUUACCAGUUAGAUCUCAGUAUUCCCUGCCUUAGCAUUCAGUUGCUGGAGUUUUUUCUUUUUGUGAUACUAUAUUACCAUGAUUUUUCAUAGUGUUUGAUGAAAUGUGCCUCUGCUGUUGCAUCUGAGUAGCACACACCUUUCUUAGUUGUUUACUUUGACUGUAACAGUUCAAUGACUGGCAGUUAGAAACCUUUCUUUUGUUUUCCAGAAGGUGAUGUGUACUAUAGCUCAAGUUUUUGGUUUCUCUUUAUCUGGAUUGGCUGUGGGGCUGCACUCUGGAGCACACAUAAAAAAAGCCAGCAGCAGAGUGGGGGCGAAGUAUGGACUUAUCACCUGGGGCUUUGUGGGUGCCCAUGGCAUGGCAGGGGGAUCCUUGAGUGGGGAUACCCUCAGAGGUCCAUGGGCAGACCUCCUGUGGAAUUCGGAAGCAGACAGUGGGGGAACUCGUUUCUUCAGUGCUGUUUGUUAUUCUUGUCUGCUUCUUUCUCUUCUCUCUCUUUUUAAUCACAGACGUCUUUGUUCAGAAAUCUGGGUGCUGUUGGAGAAAAACGGGUCUCUUUGGCUGCAACCUGCAUAGCCAGGUGGUCAGCCACUCUCUGCUUUCACUUUCCACCUCCUCUGUGAGGGAAGAAGUUCAGUGUGUUGCACUGUCACCAUGGGGAGGGAGACUGACUCCUCGAGUUCUCCCUUCUCCUCUGCCUACAAACUCGUCUCUGUCUUGCUUUGAUGGCAUGCUUGGUUCUCCUAUGAGGCUGGUGAGCCUCCACAAAUUCUCUCUUUCUCUCUUGUGUCUGCUCUGUUUUGCACUCUCUGGUUUUGCUUUUUCCCUUGACUGCAGCAAGUGGGGGUGGGGCAUGCUCACCAACUCUCUUGGAUCUGCGGAUCCCUGUGAGGUCCUAUCCAUCUAUUUUCGGAAGCACAGGUAGGUAGAAAUCUCCAGAGUAUUCUGGUAUAAUGUGCAGAGUCGCUUCUGUUUGGUUAUGAAUGACCAAUUAGUUGUAAAUGAAAGGGGAGAGGAAAAAGGAAUAACUUAGGCCACCAUGAUGCUGACAUCCCAGUCUUCUGACUUGGGAUCCAGUGUUCUUACAUUAUACCAUAUUGAUUAACCCCAUCCUCCAAAGUGGGCAAUUUCUGGGUAAUUUGGGAUACAUUGAAUUGCUUCUCAGUGUAAAUUACCUAGAUAGCUGUCUGUUAGCUACCAUUUGCUAUGUGCCAGGUACUGUGUUACAUGAUAAUAGAGGAUCUUAGCCCUCACAAAGACCCUGCACAUUGGUGGUAUAUCUGACCCUAAGAGCCUUUGCUUUUUCUUUUGUCCCAUGCUGGUUUCAAAGUAUAUUCAUACUUAAUAUGUAAUAUUAAUGUAUACAAUAUUAAUAUAACAUUUUAAAUUCCAACUUAAUUUGUCUACUCAUUGUGGAUGGGACAGGCAAGUCACUGUAAGGAUUUUACUUGAUGGGAAAGUGGGAUUCACUGUUCUUCUAAAAGGUACAUGGUGAAUUCUGGUCCUUAUGUCCCUAUGACAAGCAUAAAAGUAAAGAGAGGCAACUAGGAAGGUGGUGAGAGGGUCUCCUGCUCUGGUAUUACUGCGUUGGAAUUAUUCUGGACCUAACUCAUCUGAAAUCUUUCUAACACCCACUUACAGCAAGAAGUCAUUGUUGCCAACUACAUUGUUUCCUCUCAUGGGCAUGUAAAAUGUCAAGAUCUGAUGCAAACCAUAGAAAGCAUGGAAUCCCAGCCCCGUACUUUACAGAGGACCAAAUAGGUCACACUUGAACAGGUCAUAAGAGGAGGCACACCUCCCCCCCACCGAUAUGAGGCCAAAGUAUGUUGGCAAAACGUAACUUCUGAACAGUUCUGCAGCCACAAUAUGAGAAGCCAUGCAGGUCCUCUCUCUAGUGUCUUCUGAAUGCUUCCAGAGACUCCAGUCCAUCCCAUAUGCAAUGUGAUGUCAGAGUGCUAACUGUCUUGCUGGCAUAGGAAAACGUGUUCUACAGGCGGAGCAUCAGUCAUCUAUUGCAAGUUCUUAUUCUGUUAGCAGGUGACAUUCCCUUCACAGGCUGAAACCCUCACCCAGAGAGACUGAACAGACUAGACCAGUUCUCAGCGAAGGCCAUGAAAGAGGAUGAGGUGAAGGUCCCAGGGGGCUUCGUUAGAGCUCACAGCCUGCCCCGGCGCUGGAAGAGCACGGCUGCUCUCCAGCACGAAAAGGGAGCAGCCAGAUCUGGGGCUCUUUGCAAACACACCUGGCUCACGUCAGCAAGCAGUUCAUAGAACCUCAUUCCCUGCGUGAUGACCAGCUCCUCAAGAGCAAAGACAGGAUGUAAAGACCAUCUGCCAAUCACGUUACAGUGCAAAAUAACCAUUUUAAACACUGUACCAGAAAUUCUUUCAGUAAAAUUGAGGCCUAAGAAGUAGAAUUUCCCCCCAGUGAAGAAUGUUAGGUCCUCCCUCAAUGACGUUAGCCUCCCUCAAUGACUUUAGCUGGCAAGACAAGAGAGCCUCCUCAUCACACACCUCCUGCCAACAGUGCAGGUGAGUGUGAAGUGUGGAAGGUGCUCACGAGGCAAGAGACUAACAGCAAAAAUGACAGAGAUGUUUCUCCCCCCUCGAAGGUGAAAUAAACUACUAGGGGACACUUACUUUAACCCUGGACUUACUAAUUCACUAGGCAGACCACCCUGGGGGUCGGGGCCCACAGGCUGAAGAGGAGCAAGCUAUAUCUUGUGAGCAAAAUGGCACGAAGGCAUAUUAAUCUUUGUGACUGUCUCCUUCUGUCACCUCUGAGACAGGGGCAGUCUUUUCAGUUGUUCCACCUGGCCUCAGCGGAACUAUUAGGGAAUCAUAAAGUGACUAGAGAGUCCUCUUUUGAGCAGACCAUUGGGAGGUGGGGUGGGGCAGCAUCCCCAGAGCCCAGCUGUGAGAGAAGGCAUGAUUAAUAAGAGACUUCCCAAAAGGAGGCUGAAGACCUGGGAAAAACAGCUGGGGCACUGUGGCUCAGACGUCUCUCCCUAAGAGAGUCUCCCUCGGUGCCAGCUCGGGAGCAUUGGGGUUUGAGUUUCGUAAGGGAGGGCUGGUUGACCUCUUACACCAGAUGAAAAUGCUCAAAGAGCAGUCAUUCUCUAACCCCCACCAUACCUGGCUGCAUUGAGAUCUGCAGAAUAUCCCAGUGGCUUAUAUGUAUAACAGCCCUAUGUCAUAAAGGAUUAAAGUCCAUUGUGUAAAAUCUAAUGAAUAAUGUAGGAAAGUGCAUGGGACACUCAAGAAAAAUAUUCCUCAAUAAAACACUAUCUACUUUAAAAUGGCAGCUGAAAAGCUCAUUUCCAGGGACAAUUCAGCUAUCCAGAAUGUCACUCUCCAAGGGAUCUGGAUAGCGUGGUUUCUUAUGUGUCACUCUAUAACUACACUUGACAUGCAAACUGAACUAUGGUCAACGGAACCACUAUUCCUUUUGGGAAAACAUUUCAGAGCAAGUUGCUGGAGCAAGGGAGUCGGUGUUCAAGAUGGUGACUGCAUAGUCAGUGGUAAAUGAACACGGGAAGGAGGCAUACAUUAUUUUAACUGAUCGUCAGGAAUGUGUGCAGUGACACAGGCCAGACGGAAUCAUAGUCACUCUCAGAUCUGUGACGUCCUCAUCCUGUGGGUUUUGCCUCCCUGAUAUUUUGCCUGGUUGACAAAGGACGAUGAGGUUCAGAAAUGCUCUCUAGGUUGCCGCUCAAGGAGGAAAUGUUGACACUGGUCCAGGAAUGCUGCUAAGGGGCCCGGAGGAGACAGUA